rnacentral:rRNA from 1 species
GAUGAACGCUGGCGGCGUGCUUAAUACAUGCAAGUCGAGCGAACGGACGAGAAGCUUGCUUCUCUGAUGUUAGCGGCGGAAGGGUGAGUAACAUGAGGAUAACCUACCUAUAAGACUGGGAUAACUUCGGGAAACCGGAGCUAAUACCGGAUAAUAUCUUGAACCGGAUGGUUCAAAAGUGAAAGACGGUCUUGCUGUCACUUAUAGAUAGAUCCGCGCUGCAUUAGCUGGUUGGUACGGUAACGGCUUACCAAGGCCAGCAUGCAUAGCCGACCUGAGAGGGUGAACGGCCACACUGGAACUGAGACGCGGUCCAGACUCCUACGGGAGGCAGCAGUAGGGAAUCGUCCGCAAUGGGCGGAAGCCUGACGGAGCAACGCCGCGUGAGUGAUGAAGGUCUUCGGAUCGUAAAACUCUGUUAUUAGGGAAGAACAUAUGUGUAAGUAACUGUGCACAUCUUGACGGUACCUAAUCAGAAAGCCACGGCUAACUACGUG